rnacentral:rRNA from 1 species
AAGGGAAGCGAAAUAGUGAUAUAGNGCAAAACCCUAAAAACGGUCUCAGUUCGGAUUGAAGGCUGAAAUUCGCCUUCAUGAAGCUGGAAUUGCUAGUAAUGGCAGGUCAGCAUACUGCCGUGAAUACGUUCCCGGGCCUUGUACACACCGCCCGUCACACCAUGAGAGUUGGGAAUACCCGAAGCCUGUGAGCUAACUGUAAGGAGGCAGCAGUCGAAGGUAGAAUCAAUGAUUGGGGUGAAGUCGUAACAAGGUAGC